rnacentral:rRNA from 1 species
CAGCCGCCGCGGGAACACGUAGGGUGCAAGCGUUAAUCGGAAUUACUGGGCGUAAAGCGUGCGCAGGCGGUUUGUUAAGACAGAUGUGAAAUCCCCGGGCUCAACCUGGGAACUGCAUUUGUGACUGGCAAGCUAGAGUGUGGCAGAGGGGGGUGGAAUUCCGCGUGUAGCAGUGAAAUGCGUAGAUAUGCGGAGGAACACCGAUGGCGAAGGCAGCCCCCUGGGCCAACACUGACGCUCAUGCACGAAAGCGUGGGGAGCAAACAGGAUUAGAUACCCCAGUAGUCCCUGUCUCUUAUAA